UAGCAAUAAAAAUUAAAGGGGAAGAAGCAAUAUAUUUGAGCUAUUCUCUCACAAUUGUUUUUCUUUCCAAGAACUCUAAAAACUCAAUACAUGCCUAUAAGGGGAGAAACCUAGUGACUAAUAUAGAUUUUAGGGCUAAAAUUCACGCUUUGACAUAACUGCCCCUGGCUUUCCGCACGCCUACCACGGUUCUGCCGCGGUCACGAUAGAAUCGGGGCCAAACUACCCGUCUGAUACUCGAUUUGUCUGCAGCUAUCUCCCACCACAGUUCUACCGCGGUCGCGGUGGAACCGCGGUGAACCCCUGUCUCUGAAGUUUUGGCUUGUUUCUGACGCGGUUCACUUGGGGAUUUUCACAGUUAGCCUCUUUUUCAUCAUUUCCUGACUCCAAAAGUACUUCUCGCCUUCCCUAGUCAUAUGUAACCUGAAAUUCAUGAAAAGCACUUAUAAGAGCAUUUUGCUAUCACUUUCAUUACCAAAAACAAUGCAAGAAGAUGGUAAUUUAGGGCAUGAAUAUAGUUAAAUUCACCUAUUAUCAACACCCCACACUUAAACCUUUGCUCGUCCUCGAG
rnacentral:lncRNA from 1 species